UUUUGUAUGGUUAUAGGUUAUGUAUGUGAUCUCUGUUUGGGGCUAUGUAAGUGUAUGUGUGUCUGGAUUUUUCACUAGUUGUGUGUAUUGUGUAUGUUUCUCCCCCUGACUUGCGUGUGUUGUAUGCCUUUUAUAGCUGUAUGUUUAUGUUGCAUUGGCCUUUUGCUUUCUGGAUACCCAUUCUGAAACUGCCCAAUAACUAUUCCCAUUCAUGCUGAUUAUGAUUUUUAUGUAACUGCUGAGAUAUUUCUGAAUUCUCACCUACUGAUUUGCCUUUUAUGCUUACUGGAAUACAUAACUGUAAAAGGAAUAUGCCAACUGGUGAUGACUUCUGGUUUGCAUUUUUUGAAACUCUUGUAUUGUCCCAGUUAUUGCUGAUUUAUGUGCAUACGUAACUGUUUGAGAAGAUUCUUAUUUGCCAAUGAUGACCAUAAUUGGAGUAGAAUGGUAACUGGCCUUUAUCAUGUAACUCAUGGCUGAUUGGUGUGAUUGCUUUGGAAUAAUUAUUAUUUACUUAAGUGUAUGUGUAACCAGAAGAGAAUAUGUAUUCUGGUUUGCUGCUUUUGAACUACCAUCUGCCUUAUUCAGGGAAUCAUGGUUAUAACUAUCUUCCAAGAGGUAUUUGUAUGCUAGAAGUAUCAAUUGUAUCCAUUGUAUGUACAUUAGUAAGAACUUUUGUGACUGAUUCCCCUAGUUUAAUGUGUCCAUUCAAGAACAAUUCUAUGCAUAUCUUCCUGAUGAGGAUUCUACAAAUCACGUUAUUGUCAUUGUCUUCAUUUGCUGCCAAUCCUCUCUCUCUAGCUGUUGUUAUCUUGGCUGUUUUCUCAUUUGGGUUAAUGCUGGAUUUUUAGGUUCAAGUGCAGACCUGGUAAUGGCUUGUGGGCGUUGGCCAAAGCCAAAAUCAACAAUAAAGGGUUUUGGUUAUUGAUCCCCUGCCCCUUCUAUUAAUAAGGAUGUUGUUAUUGCUAUAUUUCUUGUACUAAUAUAUUCUGUUUGUUUUUGUAGUGGAUGAUUCUAUUUGGUGUUAGACUCAUUGACUGCUCCAUUUGGUUCACCAUAUCUCUUCGCCUCUUUCAUUAUUUUACAUCAUCAUUAAUUGUUGGUACCAAAGAGCAACACAAGCUUCAGAUGCGAAAUCUCAGUGUCCAGGUGAGAUGCUAUAAUAAGGUUCCAAUUGUAGUCUAGUUUUCUGCACAUAUGCAAGAGCAGUGAGAUUCCUUUCUCACUUAGCCUUUUGUCACGGUUGUUCAUCAAUUUAGUCAAGAGUAACUUUUUCACAACUUUCUUUUCCUUUUGCAGGAUUAGCUAUCUGCACCAACACAACUCUUUCUUGACACACAGGGUGCCGAAUGAGAAGCUGCUCCAUGGCCAAAAGCUUUAAACUUAUUCCCUUGAAAAUAUCCAUGUCAUCCGCACCAAGCAACAUUAUCUUCCCUUGAUCAGAGAACUGCUUAACAAGCUCUCCAACUUUUUCUUCAGUCUUUGGCAUGCUCAUUUAUUGAAUUCAUGAUUCUAACAGUAGCUUUUUGUAUAUCAAUUACACUAUGGUGAACUCAUUAGGAAAUCUCCUGAUUUAAUGCACGUAUAUUUUAUACUAUGCACCCUUUUAUUCCAAAUUCGGGCCACUGUUUGUAUGAUAGAUAGUGUAGGCUCCUGAGUAACUUUAUGUCCAGGUUAUGGUCUUUGAUAGCAUUAAUCAAACUAUACCUUAAUUCUUAAUCCGAG
rnacentral:lncRNA from 1 species